GAUGAACGCUAGCGAUAGGCUUAACACAUGCAAGUCGAGGGGCAGCACAAGGUAGCUUGCUAUCUGGGUGGCGACCGGCGCACGGGUGCGUCACGCGUAUGCAACUUGCCCUAUACAGGAGGAUAACCCGUCGAAAGACGGACUCAUACUGCGUAUGCUCACAACUUGGCAUCAAGUGGUGAGGAAAGACAUUCGGUAUAGGAUAGGCAUGCGUCCCAUUAGCUUGUUGGUGAGGUAACGGCUCACCAAGGCAACGAUGGGUAGGGGAACUGAGAGGUUUAUCCCCCACACUGGUACUGAGACACAGACCAGACUGCUACGGGAGGCAGCAGUGAGGAAUAUUGGUGGAUGGGCGCGAGCCUGAACCAGCCAAGUCGCGUGAAGGAGGACUGUCUUAUGGAUUGUAAACUUCUUUUAUACGGGAAUAACAAGAGUCACGUGUGACUCCCUGCAGGUACCGUAUGAAUAAGCAUCGGCUAACUACGUG
rnacentral:rRNA from 1 species